CCUACGGGUGACAGCAGUGAGGAAUAUUGGUCAAUGGACGAGAGUCUGAACCAGCCAAGUAGCGUGAAGGAUGACUGCCCUCUGGGUUGUAAACUUCUUUUAUAUGGGAAUAAAAUGUUCCACGUGUGGGCUUUUGUAUGUACCAUAUGAAUAAGGAUCGGCUAACUCCGUGCCAGCAGCCGCGGUAAUACGGAGGAUCCGAGCGUUAUCCGGAUUUAUUGGGUUUAAAGGGAGCGUAGGUGGAUUGUUAAGUCAGUUGUGAAAGUUUGCGGCUCAACCGUAAAAUUGCAGUUGAAACUGGCAGUCUUGAGUACAGUAGAGGUGGGCGGAAUUCGUGGUGUAGCGGUGAAAUGCUUAGAUAUCACGAAGAACUCCGAUUGCGAAGGCAGCUCACUGGACUGCAACUGACACUGAGGCUCGAAAGUGUGGGUAUCAAACAGGAUUAGAUACCCUAGUAGUC
rnacentral:rRNA from 1 species